AACGAACGCUGGCGGCAGGCUUAACACAUGCAAGUCGAACGCCCCGCAAGGGGAGUGGCAGACGGGUGAGUAUCGCGUGGGAAUCUACCCAGAUCUACGGAACAACAGUUGGAAACGACUGCUAAUACCGUAUACGCCCUACGGGGGAAAGAUUUAUCGGAUUUGGAUGAGCCCGCGUUGGAUUAGCUAGUUGGUGGGGUAAUGGCCUACCAAGGCGACGAUCCAUAGCUGGUCUGAGAGGAUGAUCAGCCACACUGGGACUGAGACACGGCCCAGUCUCCUACGGGAGGCAGCAGUGGGGAAUAUUGGACAAUGGGCGCAAGCCUGAUCCAGCCAUGCUGCGUGAGUGAUGAAGGCCUUAGGGUUGUAAAGCUCUUUCACCGAUGAAGAUAAUGACGGUAGUCGGAGAAGAAGCCCCGGCUAACUUCGUGCCAGCAGCCGCCGUAACAC
rnacentral:rRNA from 1 species